UUCCGGGUGGUCACCAUCUUCAUGACGAAGCAAGCCCCUGAUGAAUGCCGAAGAAACAGAAGUGCCAAAUGCAAGACACUGAGGCAAAUGGAAGGAGCUACCUGCCACCCUGGAAAAAAAACACUGGAAGACUCUUCUGCUUUGAGUACCUGUUCACUGUUGUCUGAAGUCCCAAGUUCCAAUACAUCCAGCUUCUUGCAUGUUAUUUCUUCUGGGAAAAUGUCUGACUCAAUUCG